GUCUCUAAAGUAAUGGCUUGUGCAGCAGCCUCUGAAAUAGCAUGGAAAAACCUCAGCUGGACAUCUCUGGCAUUGCAGUUCAAGAGGAUGUGGACCAGUUGGAAAGAGCCCAAAGAGGAACAUUGAGCAUAAUUAGAGGCCUUGAAUAUGACCAAGGAGCAGUGACACAUGACAUUGGCACAGCCAGUUCUGCCACUUUCCUGUGGGACUGGAGCCUCUGCCAGCAUCCCAAAAGCAGCCACCACACUGCUAGUGCUUCAACCUGCAUGGCCUCCAGAGCACAGUGAAGGGACUGCCUGGCUCUGUGCAAGGUUGUCAGUGUUCCCCAGGACAGUCUCCUGGUAGUUAGAGGAAAGAUGAGGACACCUUGGAAAAGUGACUGGGAUGUCUCCUCAAGACAAUGUCUCCAAGUUCUGAAGUCCAGGUUGCUGUUUGGCUCCAGGGCAGUACUGAAUUGCCACACGUGGGUCCUGGAAAUCCCUAUCUCAUCCUUUAGCCUCAGUUCUCACUAAUGAAAUAUCUAUUUAACCCACUAUUAGAUAUUCCAUUAUCAGUAUUAUUUUAUUUCUUUUAAAAAGUCUCUUUCUGCUUUGUAAUUAAAAUCCAUUCAAAACAGCAUUUUCAGUAUGAAAUAUCCUGACUUUUCAGGACAAAUGUUUUGACUUCUGUGGUAAAAUUAUUUCUUGAAAAUUUGUGAAGGAUUUUCCUUGUGCAAAACUUGCUGUUGAACAUCCUUUCUGAACAGUUCUCCCUCUCUACUGCUGGACAAACAAACUGGACAUGGUCAAGCUUUAAGUCUGGGUGGGUUCUAGUGUCUUGACUUCUGCAGAUGUUUGCCUAAAGCUGUAAGUGAUUCAAGAAAAGCAUCUGUCUUUGUGAGGCACACUGUCUUCAUCUGCUUAUUGACUCACAGUCUUCCAGAAUAUAGCUGCUUUCUCAUUUUUCUUUAGGUGCCUUCCAGCCCCACUGUGUUUUCCAUUUCAUCUCCUUCAACAGUGUGACUAAGGAUAUCUUGAGGGUUAGUCUGUGACAUGGCCAGUUCAUUUGAGUUGAUUAUUUCUGGGAAUCAUACAGCUGGCCUCAUAUUUUGAAGUUUCCCUUUACCCCAUAAUAUUUUUCCCUUCAAAUGGCUUAAGGAAAUGCACACAAACUAAAAUCUGCAUGUGAUU